CUCUGGUACAGGGCCCCUUGAACAUGCGCAAGGCAUCAUGAAAUCAGCAGAUUAUGAGGUGUUUUGGAAGCCAAUGUCCAAAAACUGGAAUUCCAUUGAAGGUUAUGGGUUUUCCAGCUGGACUACGACCCCAAACACACAUCAAAAAGCACCCAGAAAUGGUUCAAGAAGAAAUGCUGGACUGUUCUAGAGCAGCCAGCGAAGAGUCCAGAUCUGAAUCGCAUCCAAGACCUAUGGCAAGAGCUAAAAUGUUCUGUGUGCUUUACCGUUACUUUACAACAACAAAAAAGUUUACGUAAAGUUGAAGUCGGAAGUUUACAUACACCUUAGCCAAAUACAUUUAACUCAGUUUUUCACAAUUCCUGACAUUUAAUCCUAGUAAAAAUUCCCUGUCUUAGGUCAGUUAGGAUCACCACUUUAUUUUAAGAAUGUGAAAUGUCAGAAAAAUAGCAGAGAAAAUGAUUUAUUUCAGCGUUUAUUUCUUUCAUCACAUUCCCAGUGGGUCAGAGGUUUACAUACACUCAAUUAGUAUUUGGUAGCAUUGCCUUUAACUUGUUUAACUUGGGUCAAACGUGUCGGGUAGCCUUCCACCAGCUUCCCACAAUAAAUUGGUUGAAUUUAGGCCCAUUCUUCCUGACAUAGCUGGUGUAACAAAGUCAGGUUUGUAGGCCUCCUUGCUCGCAAACGCUUUUUCAGUUCUACCCACACAUUUUCUAUAGGAUUGAGGUCAGGGCUUUGUGAUGGCGACUCCAAUACCUUGACUUUGUUGUCCUUAAGCCAUAUUGCCACAACUUUGGAAGUGUGCUUGGGGUCAUUGUCCAUUUGGAGAGUCAUUUGCGACCAACCUAUAACUUCCUGACUGAUGUCUUGAGAUGUUGUUUCAAUAUAUCCACAUAAUUUUCCUGCCUCAUGAUGCCAUCUAUUUUGUGAAGUGCACCAGUCCCUCCUGCAGCAAAGCACCCCCACAAAGCAACCCCCAAGCACCCUCUUUGUCCCCAUGUGCAGUUGCAAACCGUAGUCUGGCAUUUUUAUGGCAGUUUUGGAGCAGUGGCUUCUACCUUGCUGAGCUGCCUUUCAGGUUAUGUUGAUAUAGGACUCAUUUUACUGUGAAUAUAGAUACUUUUGUGCCUGUUUCCUCCAGCAUCUUCACAAGGUUCUUUGCUGUUGUUCUGGGAUUGAUUUGUACUUAUCGCACCAAAGUAAGUUAAUCUCUAGGUGACAGAACACGUCUCCUUCCUGAUGGUAUGACGGCUGCGUGGUCCCAUGGUGUUUAUACUUGCAUACUACUGUUUGUACAGAUGAACGUGGUACCUUCAGGCAUUUGAAAAUUGCUCCCAAGGAUGAACCAGACAAUUGUUUUUCUGAGGUCUUGGUUGAUUUCAUUAGAUUUUUCGAUGAUGUCAAGCAAAGAGGUACUGAGUUUGAAGGUAGGCCUUGAAAUACAUCCACAGGUACACCUCCAAAUGACUCAAAUGAUGUCAAUUAGCCUAUCAGAAGCUUCUAAAGCCAUGACAUAAUUUUCUGGAAUUCCAAGCUGUUUAAAAGGCACAGUCAACUUAGUGUAUGUAAACUUCUGACCCACUGGAAUUGUGAUACAGUGAAUUAUAAGUGAAAUAAUCUGUCUGUAAACAAUUGUUGGAAAAAUGACUUGUCAUGCACAGAGUAGAUGUCCUAACCGACUUGCCAAAGCUAUAGUUUGUUAACAAGAAAUUUGUGGAGUGGUUGAAAAACAAGUUUUAAUGACUCCAACCUAAGUGUAUGUAAACCUCCGACUUCAACUGUAACUGCUGCUCACCCUACUUUCAUGUUUCUCACUUUACUAACUGUGAAUUACUGUCUAAUUCUUCACAUUUUACCAGUAAAAAAAAUCAAUGCUGCAUCUGCACGCCAACCAUUUGAUCGCAUUCAGUUUCAUAGGAAUAUGCACUUAGAUCUUCUGAAAUGAUGUACUGUGUUUAUUCCUGAGCAAAUUCGUAGCCAAACAUUCUGCGUGUGUUGGCGACAGGCUAACAUUUUAACCGUUGGCUAUGAGCCAGAGUUUGGUCUAUUCAAGUGAUCAGUCUGUCGCACAUAGAUUACAGUGUGUGUGGCUGGUUAAUUUGAUUGUUUUUUAUUAUAUUUACAACAGAGAAAGGUUGUUUAUUGUUACAACAGUUUGUUGAAGUUUGUACACCAGACAAAGACAUAGGAUCAUGUGCAGGGUGAGUGAGAACAGAAACAAGGGGCAAGUGGCAGCGGAGGGAGCAGCAGCUACAAACAUUGUUUUAAUGUAAAGUAGAGAAUCCCCCACAUGCGCCGAAGGUUCGGUUGUUUAGCUAUGGGAAGAAAUGUCCAGAGAAUUCGGCCAAGCAGCCAGUUUGUAAAAGUAAACAAAACCUCUAACGCAUCUGAGGGAAGACGCACUCCCAACUCAUAAUGCUAUAUCGAAACAGCAAAUGACAACUACAGGAAGUAAACAUCAAAUGACAACAGGAAGUAAUGUCAAUGCAAGGUCAGCGGGGACUCGUCUGGAGAGCCUUCGUAUGAAAUUAAUAAUUGUCUGUUAAGUGUCGUAAAGUCUGUCUCUGUGAAAUAGCCUAGUAAUUCAGGUGCUAGAAAAGUAAGCCAAACAUCCUUGCCACUGAGCGUACAGCUGUAUACAGGAGCAAUUACUGGACAAAGCACUGACAUUAGCAAUGUUGUUAGCUAUGAAUUAGUAUAAUGAUUUGAACAUAUUCAGUAGUGCAUUCUAAAUAGGAUAUUAGGCCAUAAUAAUACAACCAUUAGCCGUCAGACUCCCUCCUGAGUCACUCCAAUCAACGACGCAUUCUGAAAUCCAAGCAUAGUAUUGCAACUGAACACUGCACUAUGAUUGCUGAAUGGGUUGUCUAAUGCAGCGACACAGCACAGUCUGAAUAGACGUUAUAUGUUACCUUAUUGGACAUCAGCACCUCAUUCUCAUGGAUUGUCACAAUGGGGUGAGUAGACCUUCGGUUUUGGCAUCCAGAGUAAAACCAGGGACAGAGAACAGAACAACAAGAUAAAGAACAAUAAUGAAUAGUGGGUUCUUUCAAAGUGAAUCCCCCCUUCUUUUAAAUAGUGCCUGUGCGUUAGUGUUUACCUCAGUGUUUAAACUUUAACAUCAGGAGUUUGAGUAAUAUUUAAGUUUAAAAAGACAGGUGUGAUUUUUUAAACUGUAUAUGGGAAUAUUUGUGCAUGUAUCCCUUAAUCAUUGUACAUAUAAAGUACUGACGUAGUUGAUAUCUUUGCCAUGAUUUCUGUCUUUCAAAUCAGUAUAUUCUGUGAUUUUACUGAAAAGAGAGUAGGAGAAUAGAGGGGAAUAUUAGUGAACCAGCAGUGUAUUGUAUAGUACUGUACACAGCAAAUGGGCCAGUUUAACCUAGUGUUGGUUUUCAGUGUAACAUUUCUAGUGUUGAUUCAGGAGUUAAAUUAACUUAACACUUUGUGGUGUAAAAUAACCCCGGUGUUGCUGUUAAUACCCAAAGUUGAGUGUGAUUGUGUAAUUUUUGCUUUGUGUAGAGUAAAACACUCAAAACCACACCAAUCAUUAUCAUAUUUCCCAGCAUGCUGAUUUUCAGAAUUGUUUGUUCAAUAUCUGAUUGUUCAAUCAAUGUACAUUGAUUGGUUGAUUAAUGUUAUGCUAUACAAAGAUAAAUAACAUACAUUUUAGUAGUUGGUCUAAUAGCAACUGUUAUUGAGAUGAUUGCUCCAGUUUGGAUGAUUUAGGUAGCCUCAUCUCUCAAUCAUCCCUACCCUGGCAGUCAUUCUGAAUGCAGGUCGUGGGUGAUUAAAUGUUCCAAUUGUUGGAUAUCCUCACUCUCGUUUGAUUCCAAUAGUGUCGUGUAGAGUAGGCCAGAAGGCUAAACUGAAAAACAUAACCUCUAUCAAAUAAAAAGUACUUCUGUGCAAGGGUGUUUAUAUACAUAGUGAAUCCUGAAGAAAAACAACAGUACUGCCAUCAAAAGUAUACAUUAUGGGACCGCUAAAAACAACGCUGCCCCAUCAACGGCUCAAUCUAAAAGAGUCCCCACUUUGAACUGAGAGAGAGGCUCCUUUUGUAGGGGAAGCCAUUCCCAUCAGAACAUAUCAAACACUAAUUAAUUAAGUAAUUACCAUCAUCAAAGCCUACAUUUUCCACUCAGCUAAACAUCAUGAAUGAUGUACAUUGCACCUUUGCAAUCCGUUUCUCAUGAUACAUUAUAACACAUUUACAAAAUCCCACCCCUACUGACAUUGUGUCUUCAAAUAUGCCCAUUCACAUGAACGAGCCAUUCGGGACAGGCACUACAAAGCCAGCUUGAUUGCUGUAGCUCUGGUCCUCAUACCAGCAUACCCGGAAACUACAGAAACAGAGAGAGAGGAAUAGAACCAAACAAACAGCGCGCUCAUCCAUAACAUUGAUAAGUACAAUAAACGUUGCUUAACUUAAACGCUUGUCUGUAUAUCCUAACAAACUGUUUCUGACGGGAGGUAAGAAUAAAGUGUGUAAGAUAGCGAAGUUAACUUGUGUGUCUACCCACAUUGCUAACGUAAUUGACAACGGAGCAGGCUCUCUCUCUGUGUGCCUGUGUGUCAGUCAAACGCGGCCAGUGUCGGACUUCUCAAAUAGGAAUUACGUUUCACUUUGCAAGCCAGUAUAAUCAGGCCUGCAAGUCACACCACCGUGUUAAGGUCUAACUAGGCCCUCAAGGAAAGGCCUUGUGAUAUACAAGUAUGUAAUGAAUUGUCAUAAAGCAUAAUACGGCUGGAUGAACUGUUCAGAGGGUUCUAGGAAGAACCUUUAGAUGAGUUCUUGGUAGAACCAUUUACAGAGGAUUCUAUGAAGAACCCUAUAAAAUGUUCUAGGUAGAACCCUCUGCAAAGGGUUCUACCUAGCACAAAAAAGGGUUCCCCUAUGGGGACAAACCGAAGAAACCUAUAUGGUUCUACUCAGCACCUUUUUGUCUAAGAGCGUACAUGAUCCAUGAGUAUGUUGGAAACACCUGUCUGACCUAGAAAUGUGAUCCAUACCCUUCUUUGCAUCUUGAGUCAUAACUGUAUUCUCACUAAUGAUUAUUUUGCCUUGGGGGGACUAGGACAGUGGACACCAUGCAAAAUAGAACACCACUACGAAUUGGGGAAUUCCUAAUAGCACAAAUACCCUUCAAGAGAUGUUCGCCGUAUCAAAACAUUGGCCUCCAGUUGACUAUUCUGUUUACCUGUGCCUCUACUUUGUGUAUAAUUACCUUAAGAAGAGUUAAUGUACCUGCAGCUCGACUGUAAUGAUUUAAUGCUCGCUAGUGUAAUGAAUAAGUGGUUAUUUUGCUGCAUGACGUAUGAUCAGAUGAAUAAAACUAGAUUUAUUCAAUAGAUUAAAAGGAAAGUAUGCCGCAAAUAACAGUUAAGCUGUUGUGAGGGAGCGAAUGAAGACCCAUGGUUUUAAGGAUCUCCGUGUGACUGAUUUGUUUUAUAAUAAAGGCCCAAAUGAUUACCAGACCCAGUGGACAAAAUUUGGAAACCAAUACUUUAAUUGAUUUCAAACAUGAAAAAUGUACACAGAGUAUACAAAACACUAAGAACAGGUGAAUCCAGGUGAAAGCUAUGAUCCCUUAUUGUCACUUGUUAAAUCCACUUCAAUCAAUGUCGCUGAAGUGGAGGCAACAGGUUAAAGAACCAUUUUUAAACCUUAAGAAUAUUGAGACAUGGAUUGUGUAUGUGUACCAUUCAGAGGGUGAAGGGGCAAGACAAAAGAUUUAAGUGCCUUUGAAUGGGGUAUGGUAGUAGGUGCCAGGCACACUGGUUUGUGUCAAGAACUGCAAUGCUGCUGUUUUUUUCACACUCCACAGUUUACUGUUUGUAUCAAGAACGGUCCACUACCCAAAGGAUAUUCAGCCAACUUGACACGACUGGGAAGCAUUGGAGUCAACAUGGGCCAGCAUCCCUGUGGAACGCUUUUGACAGUGGGGAACUCAGGGGUAGCUCAAUAUUAGUAAGGUGUUCCUAAUGUUUGGUAUACCCAGUAUAUACAGUGCAUCCCGGACGAGACCCCAAAUUUACUAAACCACCUACCUAGCCUAUUGAUAUUGCUACUCAUGCUAAGUCUAGGGUUCCUAAAUGGUCUGUAACCAAGGUGUACAUUUAAGUGAGAAGUCUGAGUAUGCAGACCUUGUUGUAUGCAUGGGGGGAAAAAGUUGUCAAAACCAUAAGUGAAUACCUUGGAAUGUCAAAUACCAUGAAAUGUCAAAUCAGAGAUUUUUGUGGCAAAACCUACUCAAUGUCUAAGUGUAUGUACAAAUACUUUAAACUUCAUACUGUUUCAUGUUCAGUGUUAUACUUCAUUCUCCGAAAUGAUCCUCUGUUUAGACUUUGUUUGUUGGCAUUUCUUGAUGACUUUUACAGCCUUGCUUUGUGUCCGAGCCGCUUCGAUUGAAAAUUGUCAGUCAUUGACAUUUCAAAACCAUCCCUGAUGUUUUUCAAAAGUGUGUCUUCACCUAGACAUUAUAUACUUGUAAGUGCUCAGUGAUAUUGCCCUCAUAUUUGUGAUAUAUGUAUUUGCCAAAAUGACUUAGAUGUAAACAUAUUUAGUUCCGUGGAGGAAAGGCCUAGUUUUCUUUGUAUUGUUCACUCAUAGUCAUCCGGAGGCAUACCGCCAAGCCCAAACAUAUUUCCCAUGCACGUGGUUGAAGAAAAGCCCUGAGGUGAGUGUGAAAUUGCUUUUGUCUAGCUACUGCACCCACUUGCGUUCCUGUUUUGGCGCUGCCCCAGUUUCAAAAGGUAGUUUCGUCUGAAAGCUGCCUACAUUGAUUACAUUAGGUGCGGUUUUCCCAAUGACUGGCAGAUAGUGUUUGGUCCCAUCUCCAUCCAUUCACUCCUGUGAUAAAUCUCCUUCCUUAUGGGUCCAGCUGAGCUGGAGUGCUAUACAUAAUCAGACAGUAAACAGAAAGUUUCCUGACUUUGCUGUCAGUAAGUCCAUGAUUGGAAGAGAUUUAAUAAAGGUUGUGAAUAAAGGACUUAAAUCCACCAGAAUAACUUGGGUUGGCAUUAUAGAAAUUGAUAUUACCUUUUCACAUUUGUUUUUAAUACGAGCUUAAUACAUUUGUCAGUGGGAGAUUUGGUAAUUUGACUUUGUAUUGGAGAAUCACCAUAUAAUUAUUUUUUGUCACAUUAACAUAUCGUCUAACAUCGUCUCGAAUGAUCUCUUCCCUCUUUCACAAAACCAGGUUAUAGAACAGAAGGGAAAUCAUUUCAGGUUGACAAGGUGAAGAUUGAGAUGACAGCAGUGCCUUUCAGUUACAGCAAAUGUAGUCAAUCUGCCUUCUUGUUUUUGGAAAACCUACUGACAGAUCUACAAACUGUUUUCUUUUUUAUUCAAAACCUAAUGAAUAUAGUCAACGUUCUUUUGAGUUUAACUAAUUGUAGUUCCAUUUCGGUAAUGAAACAGCCAUAAAUAAGUAGCAAAGCCUGAGUGUCCUCAUGGAUAUUUCUAAUAAACUUUGUUCUGCCAACUCAGCAGGCCAGUUUCUUGUCUUGCAUGACCUAAUUAAGAAAACCAUCUAAAGUAACCUUUACAUGUAAAAAGAGACUGUUAAGAAGAAGUAAUACACUUCUAACAGUGAGGUCUAAGUGCUGGUUAAUAAACCAUACCCGGGCAAUAUAAUCCCACAAGAUAAACAGUCGUUUUCAACAUGUUUCUUCCGUGGUAACCUUAAUAAACCAAGUUAAACUAUGCCUACCUUGUUCUUGUUAUUGACAGUCAGCUCAUUCAGAUAUUGCUUGAAGGGGUUUGGAUGAAAUGCUUCAUUAUCUUCCUCUGGUAAUCUUGGGAUAAUAUUAGCAGGUCGAAUUACCCCAGGCUUGGUCUGUAAUAUACACUUAAUAAAUGAAUCAGAAAGCAUAUGUGCAUUCAUUAGCAUUACAGAGUUUAAACAGAUUUGACAUAUUUGCAAUAGAAUACCUUAUAUGGAUCUGGUAGUUCUCUCUCAAUAGUUGCAGAUGGUUGUAGGUUGUAUGUUGCCUGUAAUUAUUUUUAAGUACCUUUCCUUCAGAAAGUAUUCACACCCCUUGAUUUAUUCCACAUUUUGUUGUGUAACAGCCUGAAUUCAAAAUGGAUUAACUCAAUUUUUUUCUCAUCCAUCUACACACAAUAUCCCAUAAUGACAAAGUAAAUGUAUGUUUUUAGAUAUGUUUGCACAUUUUAUUAAAAAUGAAAUACAGAAAUAUAUAAUUUACAUAAGUAUUCACACCCCUGAGUCAAUACUUAGUAGAAGCACCUUUGACAGUGAUUACAGCUGAGUCUUUCUGGGUAAGUCUCUAAGAGCUGGAUUGAAAUUGAAUCUAUUUUAAAUUCAAGCUGUAGCACAACAAAAUGUGGGACAAGUCAAGAGGUGCGAAUACUUUCUGAAUGCACAGGGUAUGUCUAAAACUAUCCUAGAGCAAUCUUUGUCAGGAUAUUUUGCAUAUGAGAAAUGAGAACAUCACAACAAAGAACACCUCAUUACAGUAUCAGAAGGAGUGAAUAAUACAUUGUUUAGUUAUUCAAUUACAGACACAGUAAUUAGUCAUCAGCAAAGUUAUGGUGCUUUCCAAUGUGGCCACCAGAUUUAUCUUUUUGAAGCGCCUGGAACGUUUUUCUUCUUCUUCCAGAUGCACAAUAGCAAGCAUUCUCAUUUAUUUUGGGAUAUGUGUAGUUUAUUACUAAGGGAACAAAACAAAAAUGUAUACUCACAUAUUUAGUUUCAUGUCCCAAUGACCUUGGCAAUGAUCAAGUAAAGAAACCCAAGUAAUGAUAAUUUUAUGAGAAGACUAUUCCUGGUAAAGUCAGUUCAUCUAAUUACUGUGCUGUUUAUUUGUGGUAAUUGUGAUGUUGCAUGUGCAAGUAGACUAUCCUGACCCUUUAAUAUCUGGACUAUCUUUGUAUUUUUAAUCCACUGUGUGUGACAUCCUUUGUAGCCAUAUUGACCAGUUAGAGGACCAUCUCAUUUCCAGUUGUAUAUGUCCACUCGCGCAUGCCAUGCGUGAGGUCACGCUUGCACACAUGCAAACCCACACCCCCAUGGAUCGAAUCCCCGAGCUGACAGGGUAAAAAUCUGUCGUUCUUCCCCUGAGCAAGGCAAUUAACCCACUGCUCCCCGGGCACCGAAGACGUGGAUGUCGGUUAAGGCAGCCCCCUGCACCUCUGAUUCAGAGGUUAAAUGAGGAAGACACAUUUCAGUUGAAUACAUUCAGUUGGACAACUGACUAGGUAUCCCCCUUUCCACCCCACAGACACACUUCCACAUACAAAGAAAGUUGGAGUAAUGGAUACAGAUUUAAAGGGAGAUUAUGUUACUGUACCUGUAUGCAAUGUAAUGAUUUAUUUGCUUUUGUAGAUAAAUGAAAAAAUAUCACAGUAAAUAUACAAUUUCAAUUAGCAUUACAGAGUUUAAACAGAUUUGACAAAUUUGCAAUAGAAUACAUACCUUUUUAUGGAUCUGGAGGUUCUCUCUCAACAGUGGCAGAUGGUUGUAGGUUGUAAGUUGCCUGUAAAAAAUGUUUUAUAUCAGCACAAAAUGUACUUAAGUUUUUUCAUAUCAUCCAAGUGUCAACUUGCUGCACAGAGAACCAAUCUUCCUUUAGCUAGAGUCUUCCUGUGGCUUUGAUGACAAAGGCCUCUAAGACUUCUGUAAAGUGCUGAAGACAUUUCAAGGGACAGACAAAAUCUUGAAAAUAAUGAUUUGUCUCUUGAUGUAAGAUUCAUAAAGUUCAAUGCAUGUAAAUGUAACUUUAUGAAACAUUCAUGACUGUUUUUUUUUCCUUCUGAAUCCUGAUAGAUACUGUCUUAUCAUGCAGUCCCAUUCCCCAGACAAAGCUGUGAUGUUGUUUGCAUGCUGAGAUACUUCAAUAAGUUGUUGUAAUAAUCAACUUUUUCCAGACAUAGUCUAUUACCUAUAACAUAUUACAUUCAUCAUAGCUUAUUAAAGGUCCAGCUUCAGACAGGGAGAGGCAUUGACGGGGCCGGCCCGCUCAUUAGGCAGGAUUAUGCGGCCGCCUAUGGCGUCAGAUUGAGGGCAUUUUCAACGAUAAACCGAUCAAGAUGCACCUCCAACAAUACUUAAAACCUCACAUAAUUCUGCCCAAAAACAAUGACAAUUUCUCUCAACCAGUGUCACAUGGGCUUUUUAGGUAAGCUCUGAUGCCACCCUGUAAUAAGCAGUGUCCACUUUGUCAGAAGCAGGGGUGCAAAAUAUUUUGCCUCUCCAUUCCCAACACGCCUCUCUGGGGUUCUGUUGAAGAGAUGCAGUGCUCCACCAACAAAUCUUCAAAAAUUAAUAAUGUAGCAGAUAUCCUAUAUGGUAGAAAGAGUAUGUGGGCUUUUUUGUAGCCUACAGGCUGGAGAUAAAAUGUAUGAUAAUGUAAUGAGACGGACACUUUUUACAUGUACGUUUCCCAGAUCAAAUCGAAAUUGCGUACAAUCAACAACAAAAAAUUUGCUGACAUGUUAGCGAACACCAUAUCCUAAACACAGGGUGGGUCAAAGUAAAAUGGACAAUAUGGAAUGGACAAUCAAGCUACUCACAGCUGCUGUCCAGGAGUUCCA
rnacentral:lncRNA from 1 species